CGGAGCAUCGGUUAGUGGCGCACGGGUGAGUAACACGUAGGUAACCUUCCCUUGAGAGGGGAACAACCCCGCGAAAGCGGGGCUAAUACCCCAUAAGACCACAGGUCGGAAGGCCAGAGGUAAAAGUCCCGAUGGAAAUCGGGAUACUUGAGGAUGGGCCUGCGGCCUAUCAGGUAGUUGGUAGGGUAAUGGCCUACCAAGCCUAAGACGGGUAGCCGGUCUGAGAGGACGGUCGGCCACACUGGAACUGAGACACGGUCCAGACUCCUACGGGAGGCAGCAGUGGGGAAUUUUGCACAAUGGGCGAAAGCCUGAUGCAGCGACGCCGCGUGGAGGAUGAAGGUCUUCGGAUUGUAAACU
rnacentral:rRNA from 1 species